CCUACGGGAGGCAGCAGUAGGGAAUUUUCGGCAAUGGGGGCAACCCUGACCGAGCCACGCCGCGUGAACGAAGACGUCAUUCGUAAUGUAAAGUUCUUUUAACAGGGAAGAAAGAGAAAUUUCAUGUGACCUCAAGAAUAAGCUCCGGCUAACUACGUGCCAGCAGCCGCGGUAAUACGUAGGGAGCGAGCGUUAUCCGGCUUUAUUGCGCGUAAAGGGUGCGUAGAUGGCAUAGUAAGUCUUUUGUAAAAAUGCUGGGCUCAACCCAGUAGGGCAAAAGAUACUGCAAAACUAGAGUAUGAGAGAGGUAAGUGGAAUGAGAUGUGUAGCGGUAAAAUGCGUAAAUAUCUGUCAGAACACCAGUGGCGAAGGCGGCUUGCUGGGUCGCUACUGACAUUGAGGCACGAAAGCGUGGGGAGCAAACAGGAUUAGAUACCCCUGUAGUC
rnacentral:rRNA from 1 species